AUCAACAACAACAACAACAACAUCAGACAAACCUUUAAUACAACAACAAACUUGUGCACGGUGUGAAGAUAAAGCUGAUAUUUUUACCAUUGGUUAUUUCUCUGGAUUUGGAUCUUGUGCUGCAAUAGUAGUUUUUGCUGUAUUGUUCUUCCUUAUUAGACGAAGGUAUGUUGCAAGAAAAACGCCCCAAAACAACAAACCAAAUAUUGAGAAUCCAACAUACUAUAACACUAGAACUGAUUUCGGCGCUGUAAAUGCUGAGUCGGCUGAUGUGACUAAUAAUUACGAGAGUUUGAGUAAUAACACGAUCACGGAUAAUGUAUACAACGAUCUAGGAACAACAUUAUCGUAGAUGUAAGAGAAAUCAGUUAUUGUGAUUCACUAGUGAAAACAACAAAAUGAAGAGUUAGACUAUAUCUGUUGUUUCUCUUAUUCGAUGCAAAUUGUAUUGUGGCGAUAAAAUCUUAGAUUCGUUAUCCCAAAUAUGCACUUACGACAACGAGGUAACAGUAUUGUCCCUUUGUGCGUGAACACUUUUAACCUUUAAUGUCCAUUUAAGCUUAUUCACAUGUUUCGGGAAUGCUUUAUCAUUCGUGCUAAGUGAAGUAUAUUGUUUAAAUUAAAGCGGUCGGGAAAACUCAAGCUAACAUUUCGGAAUUCCCCUAAGACUGCGUCGAGAUAGUGUCAAUUGCCUAUGUCUGUGUACUUUGAAAAUCAGCAAUGAUAAAAUAUCAUGAAUUCCCUUCUUUUAUGAUUAAUCAAGAUACAGUAAAUGUUGUUCAAACCUGUGAACAUAAACUAGGAUAAGAAAUAUGUGUCAGCUUAGAGUGUAGCAGCUUUUUCAAGUAUGACUUCUGCCUUGAAUGUUGAACUAUGGUUCUGAAGGGUUUUACAUAGCAAUUCAGAAAUCUGAAAUCAGUCUUCUUACAAAACUUAUAUAAAUUUGUGUUUCAAAGGAAAUGUCCUUAAUUAUGACUCCUUUGUUAAUGACCCCUUUAAUUCCUGAAUAGCAAUGCACAUGGAAAAAUAACAUUUUGUGGAUUAGAUUAUGCGCAAUCGGUUUUUUUAAUAUUUCUUAGGAAGACGAUUUUAAUCAAAGUCUAAAGUAUCUGACUAAUAUAAAAUAUUUAAGCUGUCGUUUGUUUGAUAUUGUAAAAGCUGUCUUACAUCAUUCGACUUUAAAUACAUUUAGUACUUUCUAUGAAACGCAACCUUGACUUGAAUCAUUCGUAUGCAAUAUAUCUGCCAUGGAGUGCAUACGAACGUCUUUUAGAUUAACUCAAACACAAUAGGUUCAGUUUCUAAAAUGAUUUUUACGCAUUACUCAAUUUAUGAGAAAAAAGUCAACAGUAAAU